CCUACGGGAGGCAGCAGUGGGGAAUCUUGCACAAUGGAGGGAACUCUGAUGCAGCGACGUCGCGUGAACGAUGAAGGCUUUCGAGUCGUAAAGUUCUGUCCUAUGGGACGAUAAUGACGGUACCAUAGGAGGAAGCCCCGGCUAACUACGUGCCAGCAGCCGCGGUAAUACGUAGGGGGCAAACGUUGUCCGGAAUUACUGGGCGUAAAGGGUACGCAGGCGGCCAUGUAAGUCAGAUGUGAAAGGCCAAGGCUUAACCUUGGUUAGCAUUUGAAACUGUGUGGCUUGAGUUAAGGAGAGGAAAGUGGAAUUCCUGGUGUAGCGGUGAAAUGCGUAGAUAUCAGGAGGAAUACCAGUGGCGAAGGCGACUUUCUGGACUUAUACUGACGCUGAGGUACGAAAGCGUGGGGAGCAAACAGGCUUAGAUACCCUGGUAGUC
rnacentral:rRNA from 1 species